rnacentral:rRNA from 1 species
CCUACGGGUGGCAGCAGUAGGGGAUCUUCCACAAUGGACGAAAGUCUGAUGGAGCAACGCCGCGUGAGUGAAGAAGGAUUUCGGCUCGUAAAGCUCUGUUGGUAGUGAAGAAAGAUAUAGGUAUUAAUUGGCCUUUAUUUGACGGUAAUUACUUAGAAAGUCACGGCUAACUACGUGCCAGCAGCCGCGGUAAUACGUAGGUGGCAAGCGUAGUCCGGAUUUAUUGGGGGUAAAGCGAGUGCAGGCGGGUCAACAAGUCUGAUGUGAAAGCCUUGGGCUCAACCGGAGAAGUGCAUCAGAAACUGUUGGACUGGAGUGCAGAAGAGGAGAGUGGAACUCCAUGUGUAGCGGUGGAAUGCGUAGAUAUAUGGAAGAACACCAGUGGCGAAGGCGGCUUUCUGGUCUGCAACUGACGCUGAGGCUCGAAAGCAUGGGUAGCGAACAGGAUUAGAUACCCGGGUAGUC